UUUUCAUUUCUGGUGUAAAAAGCAUGCGCGCCUUCCAAGUGUGAGGUCUUCUUGGGGAAGGGAGUGGG
rnacentral:tRNA from 1 species